rnacentral:lncRNA from 7 species
AUGUACCGUGUCAUCCUGAAUCCGGAACAACCGUCCUUGAGCGCUUUGGCUCAAAAAUAAAAAAUCCUAUCGAUAUUAUAUUAAAAAGAUACCGAAACAUGACCCUGGUUACUUAAAACAUUAUCGUUUAUCCCUCAAGUAGCCAAACUUUUGUGUAAGAUGCUUAUCAGACCCCCUUCCAUAGAACUGUUACUCAAGCUUGUCUGGCUAUCAAACUUUCCACAGUAGAGCUGCCUAUUGGCUAUUGAUGCUUGCAGUGCACUCUUCUUUGAAUCUGGCGUUUCAACAACUGCAACUGGAGUAGCAUGCAUAAGCUGGCAGUGGAAUA